AGAGCUAUUUUUGUCUUUCGUCUUCACAGACUGUGCUCCAAAAUAGGGGAGACGAGUAGCAGGAGGAGAACAAAACAAUAUCCACAAUGUCUCCAGCUCAGAAAGAACAAAUCACUGCCAUUUCCUCAACAACAACAAUUGCCACAGCAGUAAUGGAGAACAGACUGAGUUGGAGGCAAGCUGCCCUUGGGUAAAGCGCAACACGGAUCUCUUUCUGUGGGAUUGCUCUCCAUAUACUUCAUGAAACAAGCAAAAGCAAGAUCUGGAUGAUGGAAAAAGACCCAGAAGAGUAAGCAAAAGACAAGGACUGAGGGGGCUUCUGCCCUAGAUGUGCUAGGUGAUUCAGAGAACUUCCUUCAGGGCUCCUGCCUCAAAGAGCACAGUGUAUUCGGAGCAGAGGAGACGCACAGCCACACAAAUGUCACUAACCCUAUUGGGCACCACAGAGCAAGGGCUGACACCCAGCCCAGCACUUUGGGAGGCCAAGGCGGGCAGAUCACCUGAGGUUGGGAGUUUGAGAUCAGCCUGGCCAACAUGGAGAAACCCCAUCUCUACUAAAAAUACAAAAUUAGCCGGGUAUGGUGGCGCAUGCCUGUAAUCCCAGCUACUCGGGAGGCUGAGGCAGGAGAAUCACUUGAACCCAGGAGGCAGAGGUUGCAGUGAGCUGAGAUUGUGCAAUUGCACUCCAGCCUGAGCAACAAGAGCGAAACUCCAUCUCAAAAAAUAAAAUAAAAUAAAAGGAGUCUGGUGGUAUGCUGCCCAGAGCUAGCAAGAUGUCUUCUCUGGUUGCUCCAAGAUGUUCAACAUGUGGCUUCCACUUCAUUAUCCAGGGUUGUUGUUCAUGAUACAGCCAUCGCGUUCACUUUCUAGGCAGCAGGAAGGAUAAAAGGAGGGAAGAACUGCAUGCUCUCUCAUUAAGCACACUUCCUGGAAAUGCACCCCGCCCCCCACUUCUGACAUUUCACUGGAUAAAAUCUAGUCACAUGGCCACACCUAGCUGCAAGGGUUCCUGGGAAAUGUAGUCUAUUCUAGGAUGCCGUGUGCCCAUCAGGGAAUGCUAUACUAAGGAAGUAGGAAAGGAUGGACCUCUGGGCACAACUAGUAGUCUGUGGCACGGAAAUAUAUUAGUAGAAUAGCACAUGUGCAUACUUACAAAGAAAUAAACAUGCUCAUUGGGGGCAUAGUCAAAAUUGGGGAGUUUGAAGACAGCUGCUAUGGAUCAUAGACUCUAGGAGUAAAUAUAAUUGAUUGAGAGAAGAAAUAUGAGUUGUUUUUUUAAACAAACUUACAGUCAUUCAUCCUUCUCCUGGUCAAACAGUAUAGAGAAUUUUCUGUAGGGACUCAUCCCUCCCUCACUCUCAGCCACACAGUUGCGGGGGUGGGCUGAGGGGGAGCUUCUAAUAGUCUUAGUGAGCAAGUUCUCCUGUCCCACCACUGGGAUUGGUGCAGGUCACGGAGAGGCAGCACAGGACUUGCAUUUGACUCUUAGAGGGAAGACGGUGGACAUAAAGCUGAGAGCACAUGAAGGAGGGAGCUGCCCAAACCCUCUUGCAAUCAUGGUGGAAGAGCCUGUCUGAGGGUGCAGAGGAGAUUCUCAUUCAGAGGAUGAGGGAGCUGUGCUGAGAGAGGACCAGGUCCUGGAGAUAUCGUUUAAGCGUCUGUAUCAAGCUGCAUCUGAACACAGCAUGAGUCGUGUUGAGGAGUCAUCUUGGACCGUCUGGAUGGGGUCAGCCCCCUAGAACUGGAAGAGCAAUGAAGUGGACAGAGCCUGGCAUUGCAUGACUUUCUGGAGCAGAGCCACAAUACCUGGCUGGAGGGCUGCAUGAGAGAGAAAUCAAUUUUCAUCUUGGUGCAGUCCUACCUAUUUAAGGGUCUUUGUCUUAGCAGCCAGCCUAUAACCUAACCAGGACACAUGAAGUAAUGAUCUCAUUUAAUUACCCAAUGCCUGGAGAGUGAGCACAGGGCAAGACUGACUCAGGAACCCAGGGUGCUGGCCCUCACGUUCAGCACGAUUCAGGCAUCGCUGGGUGGAGUUCCUUUCCUACAUGCUGGAUGGAGUCAUGGCCCUUCAUUUCCUCUUUGUACCUAAGCACUUUUGGGACUAUACCCCUGUGCACUGC